AGCCUGUUGCUCACACAAAGCUUGUUUGGUGACCUCUUCACAUGGAUGUAUGAGACACAUGCAAUUGCCAAAAUGAUAUUUAAUAUUUUCCAGGUUAUAUUUUGGGCAAUAAUAUUAACAUAUAUUUCAAAAUCAUAUAGGAUUUCUAAGGUUCUAGUAUCUGAACAUGUGCUAUUAAUCACAAUUAAGUGUGUUAAGUUGGUUUAUGGUGAACCAUAAAAAUAACCAAAUUUGUCCAACAUGUUCUUGACUGUAACUACCCUGGAAAUUUUGUCAUUUACUGACAAUUUUUGUCUUGUUUCAAUCUUCUUCUUCUUAAAAAAAAAUAGAUUAUAAUCAGCUGUAGAACUUUAACAGGGAUUCUUUCAAAUGCUGGUUUCUAAUAACAGAAAAACUUACAGGACACAUGAAAAGUAGAAACUGAACUAGUAGAAAACUAAAGCAAUAUUCUUGACUUAUGCUUGGAACAUUGCUGAUUCUUAUUUUGUUUUUCAGAGUCAAGGACACUUGUCUUGAGCUAGCUACACCCUUUCACAACUCAGUAAGGGAGUGAAGACUGAUUUUGC
rnacentral:lncRNA from 10 species